ACAUUUGUUCGACGUGACCAAUGCUGACUGGGACAGAAUCAAACUGAAUAUAGACUCAAAAUGCCGCACUGCAUUUCGGCGUAAGAAAAGGGGCCUGCCUUUGAAUCCAAAGGUACCUGGUUCAACUGCAACAGGUUCAUCUAGUUUCCAGAAAUCUGGGGCGUCCCAAAAUGAGCCAGAGGUGUCAGAGGAUAGCAUGAACAGCAUCGAGCUAGUUCCGCAAGCCUCGGAGUUUGCACUUUCUCUCUGCAAACGAUUGAGGAUGGAAACAAUGAGGGAAGCUGAGCUAGCAGCUGCUGCUGCAGUGUCUGAAGGGCAGGUAUUCUGCACACAGCAUGGUGACUUCCAAGUUGUUCAUGCCACUGCUGAGCAACUUGCCCAGAUCCAGCAAACACACCAGAUUCAGAUUUUAAAUGGAAACCAUAUUCUGGCAACAGCUGUAGAUGGCUCAUCUGAUGAUAAUCCAACUGUUACUAUAAUUCCUUAAAGCAGCUCUAAACAUUGCAUGGAAAGCUAAUAAACAUGUUAUUUAUUAAUGCUA
rnacentral:lncRNA from 1 species